rnacentral:rRNA from 1 species
UAGGGAAUCUUCGGCAAUGGGGGGAACCCUGACCGAGCAACGCCGCGUGAGUGAAGAAGGUUUUCGGAUCGUAAAGCUCUGUUGUUAAGGAAGAACGAGUGUGAGAAUGGAAAGUUCAUACUGUGACGGUACUUAACCAGAAAGGGACGGCUAACUACGUGCCAGCAGCCGCGGUAAUACGUAGGUCCCGAGCGUUGUCCGGAUUUAUUGGGCGUAAAGCGAGCGCAGGCGGUUAGAUAAGUCUGAAGUAAAAGGCAGUGGCUCAACCAUUGUAGGCUUUGGAAACUGUUUAACUCGAGUGCAGAAGGGGAGAGUGGAAUUCCAUGUGUAGCGGUGAAAUGCGUAGAUAUAUGGAGGAACACCGGUGGCGAAAGCGGCUCUCUGGUCUGUAACUGACGCUGAGGCUCGAAAGCGUGGGGAGCGAACAGG